rnacentral:rRNA from 1 species
CUUGGUCAUUUAGAGGAGUAAAAGUCGUAACAAGGUUUCCGUAGGUGAACCUGCGGAAGGAUCAUUUUGAAUUACAGUUGGACUGAUGCUGGCUUUUGCAAGUGCUUGUCCUUCUUCUUUCAUUUUUUUCUCUUGUGCACCUUUUGUAGUCUUGGAUUGAAUGAGAACCCCCUUCGCAGCAAUGCGGUUUUGGGGGGUUGACGCUGCUUGCCUGUCUCCCCCUGCUUCGUUCUCCAGGACUAUGUUUUCAUACACCAUAAUAAGUUACAGAAUGUCUUUUUGAAUGAUUGCGCUAGUCGCAGUCUUUUAAACUUAAUACAACUUUCAGCAACGGAUCUCUUGGCUCUCCCAUCGAUGAAGACGCAGCGAAAUGCGAUAAGUAAUGUGAAUUGCAGAAUUCAGUGAAUCACGAAUCUUUGAACGCACCUUGCGCCCUUUGGUAUUCCGAAGGGCAUGCCGUUUGAGUGUCAUUAAAUUCUCAACCUUGCUUGCUUUUACUAGCUUGAGGAGGCUUGGAUGUGGGGGUUGCUGGCUUCCUUCAGUGGAUGGUCUGCUCUCUUAAAUGCAUUAGCGGAAUCUCUUGUGGACCGUCACUUGGUGUGAUAUUAUCUAUGCCACUUGACCUUGAAGCAAAUUAAUGGGAAUCAGCUCAUACCGUCCUUCAGUUGGACAACUCUUUGACAUUUUGACCUCAAAUCAGGUAGACUACCCGCUGAACUUAAGCAUAUCAAUAAGCGGAGGAA